rnacentral:sRNA from 1 species
GCUGGAUGUGGUGGUGCACAUCUGUAAUCCCAGGACUUGUGAGGCCAAGGCAGGAGGAUCACAAGUUUGAGGCCAGCCUCAGCAACUUAAGGAGAACCUGUCUUUA